rnacentral:rRNA from 1 species
AGGACGAACGCUGGCGGCGUGCUUAACACAUGCAAGUCGAGCGGAAAGGCCCUUCGGGGUACUCGAGCGGCGAACGGGUGAGUAACACGUGAGGAACCUGCCCUAGACUUUGGGAUAACCCUCGGAAACGGGGGCUAAUACCGAAUACGACACGGUCUCGCAUGAGAUCCGUGUGGAAAGUUUUUCGGUCUGGGAUGGUCUCGCGGCCUAUCAGCUUGUUGGUGGGGUAAUGGCCUACCAAGGCGACGACGGGUAG